UAUAUAUAUGGAAUUAAUGUUGGUAUCCUUUAAAUAAGUCUUCUCUCAUGCAGCAUCUGCACCUGCUGUCAUUAAACCAGUAAAAUCCACAGGAAAGGUUGAAAACAAGAGGAAUAAAAUCCUGGGUGAUGAGCACAUCAAGGGCAGCAAUACAUUAUUUUGAUGGUCAAAUAAAUUUAUGUUGCAGGAGGUAGACUUGUAACUUGGAAGAAUUCAGAGAAAGUAAUGCCUGAGUUACUUGGAUGAUACCUUUAAUUUUCUUAAAAGCUAAGCCUCAUCAACUGCAUGAGUAGAAGAGAAAACAACAUCCGCAGAGGGAAAGGUAGACCAUUUUGUCAGGUUUGUUUUACAAAUUUAUCUUCCUUUAUGACAAUCUUAUCUUUUCUAAUGUUUUAAUUGUGUUCACAUUCUCCCAAUGGCUGAUCAUUAAACUUAAUGUGCUAAAGACCAGCCAAUGAGUUAUUAUUAUCCUUUUAAUGCAGUUCAAAUGGAUGAAUAUACCAUGGAGCUUAAUUAUUGUUCUUUUAUGUACUUCAAUCAUGGUAGACUCUUAGCCAAUAUUGGUAUGACCUUGGGAUUUUUUGUGGCAUAUAUAAGUGUUGUUGCUGCUUCUGUUGCUCUUGUGUUUUGUUCUGUCACCCACUGUAUGCGUGAGAAGAGGAUGUUGUGUUGUGUUGUUCUUCUAUUCCUUGGUGGCGCUGCUCUUGCGUUUUGUUUCUGCGUUUUGUUCUGAUGCCCCUGCACCCUGCCUAGAGCUGAUGGUUUAUGCAGAUGAUCUUUCUUUCCCUCUGCACUUUCUGGAGCUGUUUUUGGUUCUUUUGCUCGUGGUGAUGGUGCAGUCUAUGCGAUAGCUGUGUUCGUGUUGUUCUUCUAUGUUUCAAUUCAAUUUGCUGGACCUGUUGUGCGACAAAUAGAUUGGAACUUGGUAGUCUUAUAUUGGGUUACGAACAACUGAUUUUAAAUUAUGAUUUCUAAAAAAUGCACUAUUAGCAGUGGUUGAAACAACAACCGAGUAUUUAAA